CAGUUAACUGCCACUGGAAAUUCAAGUGGUCAUCCAAAUUGUUCAUCACUAUUUAUUUUCAUUAUUUAAGCAACCAAAAUAAAUCAAUUAUAUUUUUCUUCUAUAUUUUAUUAGUUAUUAUAUGGCUACACUUUCUUGCAAGCAUAUCAUGGUUCUUCUCCUUGUUUUCUCAGUUGAGUUGAUGGUUGAGCGAGCGGAAGCGGAAAUAUGUCGGGAUAUACUUCCGAGACUUCCGGGAAGCGAAAAUUGUGACAUUGAAAAUUUGAUGAUAUGACAGUAAAUUCACAUAUCAUGUCAGCUCAAGGAUUCUCUUCGUUAUUGCAUCGGUUGUGUGAACAUAAAUCGGAAGGUUGUAUAGGCUUGUGAUCGCUUGUAUGCUUAUAAAUCGCAAGAUGGCCUAGUCUUCCGAAAGCUAAAAAUGUAGUCUCUUCGCCAACACAAGGGCUUGAAUCCGCAAAUUUAUCUUCUGAAGUGCGACGUUUAAAGAAUGAGAUAAUUUUGUUGGAGAUUUGUUUCAAGAGAGGGAUAUUGCUUUGGUUAAGACUUAAGAGGAUAAAUUUGAGCAAUAAUAUUUUAACAAAUGAGUAUUGGAAGCUUGACAAGGCAGGGGUCUGCACCGGGAAAAGUGCAUAUCGAGCUAUUAUGGAUGUGCCGAUCAUAAUUUGGAAGUGUAACAUUUCUCCGAAAGUUAAGGAUGUGAGUUGGAGAUCUUGCAGGGAUGUUAUUUGUACUAGAGAUCAGCCUCUGAAAAGCAAGGUUGAACUGGAGGUUCAUCAUCCAAUUUGCGGAUUGAAGAGUGAAACUUCGAUACACAUUCUUCGGAUAUUGUAAACGAAGCAUCAACGUUUCUGUCGCGAUGGCUAAGCGCAAGAAAUCAGGUUUCCAUUAUGAAAUCAACGAAUUCAGUAGCUCAUUUAUUAGCAAGGGGCUUGCAUUUCUUAUCCUGAUCAUGUUAUUUCUGAUGGCUAUGCUCCCGCUUUUAUUUGUAAUGAUUUACAUUUUGAUGCUUUUUAAUCUAUGGCUUAGUUCAAAAAAGAAAGA